ensembl:lincRNA
AUGGCCUCGGCCUCGGAGGGUGAAAUGGAGUCUGGGCAGGAGCUGAAGGAGGAAGGGGGCCCGUGCUUGUUCCCGGGCUCAGACAGUUGGCAAGAAAACCCCGAGGAGCCCUGUUCCAAAGCCUCCUGGACCGUCCAAGAAGGAGCUACAUCAGAGGUUUUGGUAGAUGCUACUGUAGACCUCAUAUCCGAUGAAUGGGAAGCUGCUAAUGCCACACCCAGCAAGAGAAGGAAGCAGGAUGCAGCCCCGCUUGAGGCCGCCAGCGUGCCUUCUGCAGACUGUGAGCAGAGCAAAAAGAAGAAAAGGAAGAAGAAAAAGAAGGGGAACAAGUCCGCUUCCUCAGAGCUGGCUUCCUUGCCCCUGUCUCCUGCCAGCCCCUGUCACCUGACUUUGCUUUCAAACCCGUGGCCUCAGGACACAGCCCUGCCCCACAGCCAAGCCCAGCAGAGUGGCCCCACUGGCCAGCCGAGCCAGCCCCCGGGCACAGCCACCACGCCACUGGAGGGUGACGGCCUCUCCGCGCCCACCGAGGUUGGCGACAGCCCCCUGCAGGCCCAGGCUUUGGGAGAGGCAGGAGUGGCCACAGGAAGUGAGGCUCAGAGCAGCCCCCAAUCCCAGGACCACACGGAAGGGGAGGACCAGGACGCUUCCAUCCCCUCUGGGGGCAGAGGCCUGUCCCAGGAGGGGACCGGUCCCCCUACCUCUGCUGGUGAAGGCCAUUCUAGGACUGAAGAUGCUGCCCAGGAGCUCCUGUUGCCUGAGUCAAAAGGAGGCAGCUCUGAGCCCAGGACAGAACUGCAGACCACCGAGCAACAGGCAGGGGCCUCAGCCUCUACGGCAGUUGAUGCUGCAGCUGAGCCAGCCAAUGCAGUUAAAGGGGCCGGGAAGGAAAUGAAAGAGAAGACCCAGAGAAUGAAACAGCCGCCAGCAACCACUCCUGCUUCCAAAACACACUGCCAGGAAGCUGAGACCAAGACCAAGGACGAGAUGGCUGCUGCUGAAGAAAAAGUUGGUAAAAAUGAGCGAGGGGAGCCUGAAGACCUCAAGAAGCCAGAGGGGAAGAACAGAAGUGCAGCUGCUGUGAAAAACGAGAAGGAGCAAAAAAACCAGGAAGCAGAUGUCCAGGAAGUGAAGGCAAGCAUGCUGAGCCCGGGCGGAGGAGUCACCGUGUUCUUCCACGCCAUCAUCUCUCUUCAUUUCCCAUUCAUUCCUGACCUCCAUAAAGUCGUCAUCAGAGGAGGAGAAGAAUUUGGGGGGUCAAAAUGGGACAGCAAUGUCUGUGAGCUGCACUACACCAGAGACUUGGGUCAUGACCGCGUUCUUGUUGAAGGCAUUGUCUGCAUUUCCAAGAAGCACCUAGAUAAAUACAUUCCUUACAAGUACGUCAUUUAUAAUGGGGAAUCUUUUGAGUAUGAGUUCAUUUACAAGCACCAGCAGAAGAAGGGCGAGUACGUCAACCGCUGUCUGUUCAUAAAAUCUUCACUUCUGGGCUCAGGAGACUGGCAUCAGUACUAUGACAUAGUUUAUAUGAAGCCUCAUGGGAGACUCCAGAAAGUCAUGAGCCACAUCAUAGACGGGCCGAGGAAGGACCUGGUGAAGGGGAAGCAGAUUGCCGCUGUGCUCAUGCUGGACAGCACCUUCAGCAUCCUGCAGACCUGGGACACCAUGAACCUGAACAGCUUCUUCACCCAGUUCGAGCAGUUUUGCUUUGUCCUGCAACAGCCUAUGAUUUAUGAAGGACAGGCACAGCUGUGGACCGAUUUGCAGUACAGGGAGAAAGAGGUGAAGAGAUACCUGUGGCAACAUCUGAAAAAGCACGUGGUAUCAUUGCUGUACGGAAAAAGCACGGACUCUUUGCCUAUGGACUGCCCAGUGAGGAGUAAACUGAAAAUAGGCCUGAUUGUCCUUUUUGUAGUGGAAAAAAUUGAGCUUUUAUUAGAAGGCAGCCUGGACUGGUUGUGUCACCUCCUAAUCUCAGAUGCCAGCUCACCAGAUGAGUUUCACCAUGACCUAAGCCACAUCCUUGGGAUACCUCAGAGCUGGCGGCUGUACCUGGUGAACCUGUGCCAAAGAUGCAUGGACACAAGGACGUACGCCUGGCUGGGCACCCUGCCUGUCCUGCACUGCUGUAUGGAGCUGGCCCCGCGGCACAAGGAUGCCUGGAGACAGCCUGAGGACACCUGGGCCGCUCUGGAGGGACUCUCCUUCUCACCGUUCCGGGAACAAAUGCUAGAUACGAGCUCCCUACUUCAGUUUAUGAGAGAGAAGCAGCAUUUGCUGAGCAUAGACGAGCCUCUCUUCCGGUCCUGGUUUAGUCUGCUACCUCUGAGUCACCUGGUUAAGUAUAUGGAAAACUUCAUUGAGCACCUGGGUCGUUUUCCUGCUCAUAUCCUGGACUGUUUUUCAGGGAUUUACUACCGGCUUCCGGGACUUGAGCAAGUCUUGAAUAUGCAGGAUGUUCAGGAUGUUCAGAACGUUCAGAACAUUUUAGAAAUGCUGUUGCGACUCCUGGACACUUACCGGGACAAGAUUCCCGAGGAGGCCUUGUCACCAUCCUACCUGACUGUGUGUCUGAAACUGCAUGAAGCCAUCUGCAGCAGCACAAAGCUACUUAAGUUUUACGAGCUGCCAGCCUUAUCUGCCGAGAUUGUCUGCAGAAUGAUUAGACUUCUAUCUCUGGUGGUAAGUGGAGUCAACACACAAAGUAUCACACCCGGGAUAGGUGCGGAAUUUCAAGCAGCCUCAAUUUGGAAAGGAAACAGACUGAUUCCAGGGUGCUGGGAUGAGAUGGAGCGGUGGUUCCAGCAGUGAACAUUUCUUAUGCACCUGCUUGAUGCUGGGUUCUGUUCUAGGUGUGGGGGGUGUCAGUGGGCCAGGGUCUGCCCUUCUGCCACCUUGGGCUCUCAUGGGAGGGGAGGCAGGGAGUUAAUGUGUGGCCAUCAGCUGGCCAUGGGGAAACCAGAGAGCUGGCGCAGGGGCUGGGGGUCAGGCAACGCCACGCGGAGAAGAUGACUUUUCUUUUUUCUUGAUUCUAUUGUUUGCAGAGAACUAUGGGGACCAUUUUCCUCCCAAAAAAUACAUGUCCAAACAUGGUCUUUCCCACCUUCUUUACAUUGUAGCUUGAAUACAGUAACAAAGGCCAUAGCACCGCACAUCUGUCCCCCGCUGCAUGUCGCGUCCCAGGUCUGACGGCAGGAUGACCCGGCUCCUCCGUCCCAAAGAAAGCCACUGUUGUGACUUCUCCCAUGGAUCGGGUUUUUUUUGUUUUUUGUUUUUUAAGACGGGGUCUCACUCUGUCGCCCAGGCUGGAGUGCAGUGGUGCGAUCUCGGCUCACUGCAAGCUCUGCCUCCUGGGUUCACGCCAUUCUCCUGUCUCAACCUCCCAAGUAGCUGGGACUACAGACGCCUGCCACCACGUCUGGCUAAUUUUUGUAUUUUUAGUAGAGAUGGGGUUUCACCGUGUUAGCCAGGAUGGUCUCGAUCUCCUGACCUCAUGAUCCGCCUGCCUCGGCCUCCAAAGUGCUGGGAUUACAGGCUUAAACCACCACGCCCGGCCUCCCAUGGAUCAGUUUUACCUGUCUUCCAGCUUUGACCUUUCUGCCUCCGACUUUCCCCACUCACCCCCAUGUCUCUGAGCUCUGUCUGUGUGGUGCAGAGAUCGGCAAUUCCUUCUUUCCCGUCUCUGUGCAGCUUUCACCCACUUGAGUUCAUGAGUUUCAGUUUGAAAGUGAUGUAAGAUUUAAUGUUUAGACUGAUCAUUUGUUUGUUUUUUUGAGAUGGAGUUUUGCUCUUGUUGCCCAGGCUGGAGUGCAGUGGCGCCAUCUCAGCUCACUGCAAUCUCCGCCUCCUAGGUUCAAGUGAUUCUCCUGCCUCAGCCUCCCAAGUGGCUGGGACUACAGGUGUGCACCACCACACCCAGCUAAUUUUUGUAUUUUUAGUAGAGACGGGGUUUCACCAUGUUGGCCAAGCUGGUCUCAAAUGCCUGACCUCACGUGAUCCACCUGCCUUGGCCUCCCAAAGUGCUGGGAUUGCCGAUGUGAGCCACUGCACCCAGCACAAUUUUUUUUUUUUUUUGAGACAGAGUUUCACUCUUGUUGCCCAGGCUGUAGUGCAAUGGCGUGAUCUCAGCUCACCACAACCUCCGCCUCCUGGGUUCAAGUGAUUCUCCUGCCUCAGCCUCCCGAGUAGCUGGGAUUACAGGCAUGUGCCACUAAACCCAGCUAAUUCUGUAUUUUUAGUCGAGAUGGGAUUUCUACAUGUUGGUCAGGCUGGCCUCGAACUCCUGACCUCAGGUGAUUCGCCUGCCUCAGCCUCCCAAAGUGCUAGGAUUACAGGCAUGAGCUACUGCACCCGGCUGAUCAUUUUUUUAAAUCUUACUUCAAGUUAGAACUGUGACGUUAGUGAUAGAAAACAAUUAAGUGUAUGUUUUAACUUUCUUCCUUUCAGUUUUCUUGUGUUAAAGUACCGCAGACACAGUUUAAGAAUAAAUGUCAUUGGUGAGAUGAUCAUGUUCUCCGGAGUGGCUGCUAUUUAAACCGCCACAGGCAGCUGCCAACUUCCACAUAAACUGUGUUUAAGGAAUUUGUCAGUUACUUAGGAUUUAUUUUCUACAGAAAUAACUAUCUUAAAUGUUGGCUGGGAUCUCAGAUAAGUUUAAUCCAUAUUAUGGACAAAAUACUCUCUACCUGUGCCAUAAAAGCAAACAAACAAACAAAAAACCUUUGCAAUACUAAAAUUAAACAAAGCAAAAAUACGUGACGCAUGUUGAAGAAACUUUUAGGUGGCUGCUGCUGUGAAGGCUCCAGGGUUGACGGACACUUGGAGAACAAGGUGCCCGUGUCAGGCUCCGGAGGUCUGUGCAGCCUCUGAGCGGUCAUUCAGUUUGUUGUUAUUGGCCAUCGCUGCCCAGCCCUGUGCUGCUGGAUUGUUCUAGAAGGAGCUGUGCCAUUGGGGGGAUUGUUCUAGAAGGAGCUGUGCCAUUGGGGGGACCUUCAGCAGUGCCUGUUUCGUUUUCUGCCGGCCCCCGCCCCCUGCGUGCUGUGCUCUAGUCACUCCUGUGCCCAGCCCCCUCUGCGGGCUCUCUUUCACAGCAGCACCUGCAUCCUGGCCCCUCUUACAUGCUUUGAAAGCUCCUGCCUGUAUCUUCCCGCCCUGGCCCUUCCCAGGUAUAGUGAUGCUGUGUUCCCCUGCCUGCUGUGGGCUUUUCCUCUCUCCCACUCUCGGGCAGCCCUGCCCAGCAGCAGCCCUGUCCACUUGCCCAGCUGCCUCGAGGCGUGGGCCUCUCGGUGCUUCCAGUGAGCACCUGAGCAUAUCCAGGUUCUGUGGCUCCUGACACUUGCACGAUGUGCGGGGCUGUGCUUAAAAAAAAAGAUCACACACUUGGCUGGGUGUAGUAGCUCACACCUGUAAUCCCAGCACUUUGGAAGGCCAAAGCAGGCAGAUAACCAGAGGUUAGGAGUUCGAGACCAGAAUGGCCAACAUGGUGAAACCCUGUCUCUACUAAAAAAUACAAAAAUUAGCCAGGUAUGGUGGCAUGCACUUGUAAUCCCAGCUACUUGGGAGGUUGAAGCAGGAGGAUCACUUGAACCCAGGAGGUGGAGGUUGCAGUGAGCCAAGAUCGCGCCAUUGUACUCCAGCCUGGGUUACAGAGUGAGACUCUGUCUCAAAAAAAAAGAAAAAAAAAGAGAAAAGAAAAAGACCACACAUUAAUCCAGGACUGUGGGGCUCCUCCCAGGAGGAGGUGGCCCUGACCCCUGACCUGUACGCUUCCUGGGAAAUGUGCUUCUGGGGAGGACAGAGGGAGGAGGAAGGAGAGGGAGGAAGAGGAAGGCAGGGGAGAGAAGGGAGGCAUUACAGGAGGCUUUGAGCCCAGGGGAAGAGGGGUUUUCCCUCUGGUCUGGUGGGUCUGGCAUGGAGGCAGGGGGAGGGCAUGAUGGGAGCACAGUGGGAAGGGGACCCAGGUUUACCUCCGGGUCAGGAGCCUGGCUGUCUCCUGUGUCUAAGGAACAGGCCCGGGAGUCUGCAGGGCCCCUCUCUGGGGCGUGCUUUUCCCCCUCAGUCUCCUGGGCACAGCCUGGGGACCUGCUCAUUGGCAGGACAGAGGCUGCCUGGGCUUUCAGGGGAGCACACAGAUGCCGUUCCCUCCCUCCCUCUUUUCUCCCGUAUCUCCCACGUUCAGGGCGAACCCAGAAAACCCUGGGGAAUGGAAGUGCUUUGGGAAUGUGGGCUUCUGCCAAGGCCUGUGGUCCCUCCAUCGUAGCCACUCCUUGAGCAGCCUGUGCCAGCAGGGAGGAGAGGAGGGGGUGCAGCGUCUCGCCGGGAACCUGAGUCCACAGCCGAGGAUGACUGACCCUCCCUCUUGUGUGACAACAGGAUUCUGCAGGACAGGGAGAUGAAACUGGAAAUAAUUCAGUCCAAACAGUCGUCCAAGGGACCCUUGCUGCUACGAAAAGGUGGCUCCGAGAAGUUUUUACAAAGAACAUGCUCACAUAUUCAGGUGCCUCAUUCACAUACGUCAAGGAAAUUGAGGUAAGCAUUUGGCCGAAGGCUUCUGGGUAGGGAUGUGACUGAUCGUGAUUCCUCAUGGCCUCAAAUCAUGGGGUACAGGCUGCUGGCCAGGGGCAGUUGUUGGCCUUCACCUGAGCCUCGGUUCUUCAUCUACAAAAUGGUGUUGCUCCUGUCUACCUGGCAGGGUGGCUCUGAGGCAGACAGAUGCCGGGUGCAAAGUGCUGCUGCACUGCCUCGUGUCCCCUGGCCGGGCACAGUCCCUGUGGUGAUGGAGGUGUGGAGGUGAUGGUGAUGGUUGGUGGUGGUGGUGGUGGUAGAGGUGAUGGUGGUGAAGGU